rnacentral:piRNA from 1 species
UACUUUUGUUCAUUCUUUGGACCCCAAACC